UGUAUAAUGGGUCAGCGACUUAUAUUCUGUAGCAAGGUUAACCGAAUAGGGGAGCCGAAGGGAAACCGAGUCUUAACUGGGCGUUAAGUUGCAGGGUAUAGACCCGAAACCCGGUGAUCUAGCCAUGGGCAGGUUGAAGGUUGGGUAACACUAACUGGAGGACCGAACCGACUAAUGUUGAAAAAUUAGCGGAUGACUUGUGGCUGGGGGUGAAAGGCCAAUCAAACCGGGAGAUAGCUGGUUCUCCCCGAAAGCUAUUUAGGUAGCGCCUCGUGAAUUCAUCUCCGGGGGUAGAGCACUGUUUCGGCAAGGGGGUCAUCCCGACUUACCAACCCGAUGCAAACUGCGAAUACCGGAGAAUGUUAUCACGGGAGACACACGGCGGGUGCUAACGUCCGUCGUGAAGAGGGAAACAACCCAGACCGCCAGCUAAGGUCCCAAAGUCAUGGUUAAGUGGGAAACGAUGUGGGAAGGCCCAGACAGCCAGGAUGUUGGCUUAGAAGCAGCCAUCAUUUAAAGAAAGCGUAAUAGCUCACUGGUCGAGUCGGCCUGCGCGGAAGAUGUAACGGGGCUAAACCAUGCACCGAAGCUGCGGCAGCGACGCUGAUGCGUUGUUGGGUAGGGGAGCGUUCUGUAAGCCUGCGAAGGUGUGCUGUGAGGCAUGCUGGAGGUAUCAGAAGUGCGAAUGCUGACAUAAGUAACGAUAAAGCGGGUGAAAAGCCCGCUCGCCGGAAGACCAAGGGUUCCUGUCCAACGUUAAUCGGGGCAGGGUGAGUCGACCCCUAAGGCGAGGCCGAAAGGCGUAGUCGAUGGGAAACAGGUUAAUAUUCCUGUACUUGGUGUUACUGCGAAGGGGGGACGGAGAAGGCUA
rnacentral:rRNA from 1 species